rnacentral:rRNA from 1 species
AGGUUUCCGUAGGUGAACCUGCGGAAGGAUCAUUACCGAGUUAGGGUCCUAUGGCCCAACCUCCAACCCCUUGUAUACUACCAAGCGUUUUAUUGUUGCUUCGGUGGGCUAUAAAAUGCCCACCGAAGCCCAACAAAAAUCUUUGUAAUGAUGUUGUCUGAGUUAUUAAAAUAAUAAUUAAAACUUUCAACAACGGAUCUCUUGGUUCCCGCAUCGAUGAAGAACGCAGCGAAAUGCGAUAAGUAAUGUGAAUUGCAGAAUUCAGUGAAUCAUCGAAUCUUUGAACGCACAUUGCGCCCUUUGGCAUUCCGAAGGGCAUGCCUGUUCGAGCGUCAUGAUCAACCUCAAGCCUAGCUUGGUAUUGGGUUUUCGUCUCCCUCCCUGUUAGGGUAGUGACGUGCCUGAAAGUCAAUGGUGGUGCCUCAAUAGACUCAAGCGUAGCAGACUAACUCUCGCUUUGGAGAACUUUUGUGGGUACUGCCAAACAAAACAAUCAAAGUUGGACCUCGGAUCAGGUAGGGAUACCCGCUGAACUUAAGCAUAUCAUUAAGCGGAGGAA